GAUAGCAAAGAUAUGUCUUUAAUAAAGUGAAUGCUUUGUUUGACGCAGUAUGACGCUGAGUCAAUGUUGAUGUUGUUUGUUAUACAUCGUCUACCUAAUGGAAGCACAUUGUGUGGUAGACAUCGUGAACGCGGUGGGACACUUUCGGGUCCCUUCCGCUGUCAAAGUAGACUUGCCAGGUUUAAGACAGCUUAGGUUUUGGACGCCGUGCUAUUUUAAUGAAAUUAAUGACUGAGGACUUCUGAUGCAGCCCAGAUAUAUAGCUGAUGGAAUCUGGGGUUAGGUCUGGAGUGCCAAGUUAUUUUUUUUAUAGCAGGGCCACAUGGUAAUAGAACUUGAGGCUGGGUUUAGGACUGCAGGCCCUUUCCUUUUAAGGAUGACCGUGCUCUUGGACAUGGUUUUGUCUACUUCGACAAACUAUUUGGGGGAAACUAAGGUUAGGUUAAUUCGACUCCAGGAUGUCCUAAUAAUGAAAAUUUGACCCUGUUACACGCAGUUUGAGGUUGGGUCCUUGACGCCAAGUCCCACCUUAAUGUAAGACGCUGCUUGAGCACAUUGAAUGAGACAUCGUGGGAUG